CAGCCGUAAACUAUGCGCGUUAGGUGUACUGGUGACCACGAGUCACCGGGUGCCGAAGGGAAACCGUGAAACGUGCCGCCUGGGAAGUACGGUCGCAAGGCUGAAACUUAAAGGAAUUGGCGGGGGGAGCACCACAACGGGUGGAGCCUGCGGUUUAAUUGGACUCAACGCCGGAAAUCUCACCGGAUAGGACAGACAUAUGAUAGUCGGGCUGAAGACUCUACUUGAUGAUCUGAGAGAAGGUGCAUGGCGUCAGUGACU
rnacentral:rRNA from 1 species